GGUGAGGACACUCCCUGAAGGAUGUCAAAAAAAAAUCGGGGUAGUGUUGGAGUGCAGCAAAGCUCUCACAGGCAUGUGGGUGGAAGCUACAGGCCUUUGCAGCUGACCCUCAACUUCAUGUGGCCUCCAAGAUCGCCCAUCCCACGCUCUCUCCAGAUGGCAAAACGGGCCUUUCUUGUGUCCUUUUGCCUUAAGGUCUGACUUCAACACUUGCUUGAACCAAGUCAAAAGCCUCAUUAAACAUCAGCUAAAACACCUGGACAGAAGAUCCCGAGGGAAAAUGAACAAAGGGAAAGGAAAGCAGAGGGCUGGCUGACAUCUUCUUAAAGGAAAAGGCAGAAAACUAAGCUUCUAGUUUAAACACAAUGGCCUUCGCACAUGUUCUGAGAAUUGUAAUGUCCCAAGACAUAAGAGAUGUGAAGAUAGCAAUUCAAGUAUGUCAAUGAGAAGCCACAGUAGCACCAUGGAAAAGUCCAAAGUAGCAGUGACAAUAGAAGCCAGCACUCGCUGCACUAAAGAUUUCACAAUGCAUAACUGUGGACACUCCCAAGGCUCUGGAUGGAAAGGAGUGUGGUCUCUUUCUAGAUGUAAAGGUUUGGUCAAGAAGAUGUGUGGAUGGUCUAGGAAACCAAGAAAGAAACUCAGUUGACGUACAGACUUUGGAAGCAAUAAUAAACACUGGAUUUGAAUCCUCUUCCCUUAACUAGCUUUAUGGCCAGGAGAAUCUUCUUUAACUGCUUUAAGACUCAGUUCUCACAUUUACAAAAUAAGAAUAAAAAUAUCUGUUGUUCUUAGUGUUCUUUUGCUGCUGUAACCCCAAAUUACACAAAUCUUAUGGCUGUAAACAACAUAAAUUUGUCAUCUUACAACUCUGGCGAGAAGUCCAAAAUAGGCUUUAUUCAAGGUGCUGGCAGAGCUGGAUCCCUUCAGGAAGCUUUAAGAGAAAAUGUUUCCUGGCUUUGUCCAUCUUCUGGAAUUGGCCCCAUGACCUUAUAUCUUUAAGGUGAGCAAAGUCCUUGUCAUGCUGCCAUCGCUUGAUUCUGCCUCUCCUGCUGUUCAAAUCUUUGUGAUUACAUUGGGUCCAUCCAAAUAAUCCAGGAUAAUCUCCAUAUUUUACUAUUUUUUGUAUAUGGUCCCAGGAGUCAAACCCAGGGCCUCAUUCAUGCUAGGCAAGUGCUCUACCAUUGAGCUACAUACCUAUCCCUAAUCUCCAUGUUUUAAGGUCA
rnacentral:lncRNA from 1 species